rnacentral:rRNA from 1 species
UACGGAGGGGGCGAGCGUUGUUCGGAAUCACUGGGUGUAAAGGGUGCGUAGGCGGUCCGUUAAGUCUGAUGUGAAAUCCCUGGGCUCGAACUCAGGAACUGCAUUGGAAACUGGCGGGCUAGAGUACCGGAGAGGGAAGCGGAAUUCCUGGUGUAGCGGUGAAAUGCGUAGAUACCAGAGGAACACCGGUGGCGAAGGCGGCUUACCUGGCCGAGUACUGGACGCUGAGGCACGAAAGCGUGGGGAGCGAACGGG